GACGAACGCUGGCGGCGUGCUUAACACAUGCAAGUCGCACGAAGGGGCGAACGGGUGAGUAACGCGUAAUCAACCUGCCCUUCAGAGGGGGACAACAGUUGGAAACGAAUGCUAAUACCGAAUACUGAAGGAGGGGAUUGCGUCUGAUUAGCUAGUGGGUGGUGUAACGGCCCACCAAGGCGAUGAUCAGUAACCGGUCUGCGGGGAGGAACGGCCACAUUGGGACUGAGACACGGCCCAGACUCCUACGGUAGGCAGCAGUGGGGAAUCUUCCGCAAUGGACGAAAGUCUGACGGAACAACGCCGCGUGAGUGAUGACGGCCUUCGGGUUGUAAAGCUCUGUUAAUCGGGACGCGGUACCGGAAUAGAAAGCCACGGCUAACUACGUGCCAGCAGCCGCGGUAAUUC
rnacentral:rRNA from 1 species